UACGAAGGGGGCUAGCGUUGCUCGGAAUUACUGGGCGUAAAGGGCGCGUAGGCGGCCAGUUUAGUCAGAGGUGAAAGCCCAGGGCUCAACCCUGGAAUUGCCUUUGAUACUGACUGUCUUGAGUACGGGAGAGGUGUGUGGAACUCCGAGUGUAGAGGUGAAAUUCGUAGAUAUUCGGAAGAACACCAGUGGCGAAGGCGACACACUGGCCCGUUACUGACGCUGAGGCGCGAAAGCGUGGGGAGCAAACAGG
rnacentral:rRNA from 1 species